GAUGAAGAACGUAGCGAAAUGCGAUACGUAAUGUGAAUUGCAGAAUUCAGUGAAUCAUCGAAUCUUUGAACGCAUAUUGCGCUCUCUGGUAUUCCGGAGAGCAUGCUUGUUUGAGUAUCAGUAAACACCUCAACUCCCUUUUCUUUUUUGAAAUUGGAGCUGGACUUGAGUGAUCCCAACGCUUUCUUCCAAGAAAGUGGCGGGUUGCUUGAAAUGCAGGUGCAGCUGAACUUUUCUCUGAGCUAUAAGCAUAUCUAUUUAGUCUGCCUAAAAAACAGAUUAUUACCUUUGCUGCAGCUAACAUAAAGGAGACUGGUUCUUGUGCUGACUGAUGCAGGAUUCACAGAGACAGCUUCGGCUGACUUUGUAAACUCGAUCUCAAAUCAAGUAAGACUACCCGCUGAACUUAAGCAUAUCAAUAAGCGGAGGA
rnacentral:misc_RNA from 1 species